AUUGUCGGCCAAGUGGAUCUCUCUCAGCACUGAGCUGUGCUAGCUUGAGGAGAGGUUGGCACAGGACUUGCCUCUCCAUGCUUAGACCUAGCAGAGAAAUCCUGAAGAUAUCCUGCUGAUUGAGUUUCACCCUUGUUGACCAGGCUGGAGUGGAAUGGAUGAUCUCGGCUCACUGCAACCUCUGCCUCCCGGGUUCAGGCAACUCUCCGGCCUCAACCUCCUGAGUAGCUGGGAUUACAGGUAUGCGCCUCCAUACCUGGCUAAUUUUGUAUUUUUAGUAGAGAUGGGAUUUCUCCAUGUUGGUCAGGCUGGUCUCAAACUCCCAACUUCAGGUGAUCCACCUGCCUCGGCCACCCAAAGUGCUGGGAUCACAGGUGUGAACCACCACGCCCGGCCAAUUCUGUAAUUCUUAAAAGCUGGUGUGUAGAAUGGGAACAUAGUGGGGUUUUCAUUACAAUAGUUUAACUUUCCCCAUAUUAGGAAUAUGUGUAUGGGUUCUAUUUUAUUCAUAUAAACCUUUAUUGUUUAAAAAACACAAAGAAAUAAAGAUUGAAAGAACAUU
rnacentral:lncRNA from 1 species